GGACAUUUUAUGAAGCCUUUUUUGGGGUGAAACGUUGUAAAACUGCCCCUCGUCACUGCUGCUGGUCCCAUCCGUCUGAUCCAGGAGGUAAAAAAUAAUUCAGACCUGGCCUUACUGCGGAGUUUUCCAUUCAAACAUUUCAAUAUGCACUGGCUGGCAGUGCAGAGGACAGGUUCCUAACAAGCUGCAAAGAUGAAAAGCUUUCAACUUCCUUAUAUUUAUCUGGAGAAAUUCUCCUUGAGAGAAAUGAACUGGAGCAGGCUCAUGGACCCCUUCAGAAUUCGCUGGCUGCUCCAGAGGGGAAAGCUGUGGCUUUUAACAACCUGGAACAUCUGAAACGACCCCUGCCAGCUUUCCCCAAACUUCCCUUCAUUGCCCGUCCCCCGUGUAGCACGACCUGCCCUGUAUUAAGGCUCUAAUUAAAACGACUCGUGUCGCAAUUUGGCAGAGCAGAGCUGAUGGGCGUCUGUUUAGAGAAGAGCUCCAGUGUUUUAUCAACACUAAUGAGUGAUGGGAGCCUCUUUGCGCCCUUUUCACAAAGGUCCUGCUCAAAUCACCGCGUGACCAGCCUUAAUUACAGCGAGUUAAUUUGCUGCUGCCUGCCUCGCAGAUGUUUGGGCAAACGUUCCAUGGAUCGUGGGCUGGUGAGGGAGCCGCUGCAGCUGGCCAG